rnacentral:rRNA from 1 species
AUUGAACGCUGGCGGCAGGCCUAACACAUGCAAGUCCAGCGAGCGGCGGACGGGUGAGUAAUGUAUGGGGACUGCCCGGUAGUGGGGGAUUACUACUGGAAACGGUAGCUAAUACCGCAUACUAUCGGAUAACCCAUAUGGGAUUAGCUAGUAGGUGAGGUAAGGGCUCACCUAGGCGAGGAUCCGUAGCUGGUUUGAGAGGACGACCAGCCACACUGGGACUGAGACACGGCCCAGACUCCGACGGAGGCAGCAGUGGGGAAUUGUGGACAAGGGGGGAAACCCUGAUCCAGCCAUCCCGCGUGUAUGAUGAAGGCCGUCGGGUUGUAAAGUACUUUUGGCAGAGAAGCGGUAUCUGCAGAAUAAGCACCGGCUAACUACGUGCCAGCAGCCGCGGUAAUAC